GGACAAAGUUAGUUCUGAAAUGUGUCUUUGUGGGGCCUUAGACGUAUGCCUUGAGGCUUGCAAUCAAAACUAACUAAGUGCUAAGGCAUGCCACUGCCAUCUCUGUAUGGCAGAUGUAGAACAAGUGUAUUUAAGCCGAUUACUUGUGCCCCAAGUUAUUCUGACUUCUUGUUAUCAAAGGAUUGUCGUAGAUGGGUUACGUCUACAUUAAGUUCUUUACUAUGCCUUGAGAUCAAGGACUUUUAGUUCGUUAUCUUGUAUGCUUAAAGAGUGGAGGUUCAGAUCUGAUCAAGUCAUCAAUUUUAAUUCACUUUUAAUCUUCUUAUGACAAUAAAACCACUAAGUGAACCAUAUCUGAGAACUGAUGGAACUUUGGAUCAUCAAAAGACUGGAAAUGACUUGAAUAUAUACUGGGGAAUACUUAUAACACCAGAUCUAUUAAUUGAAAGACAAAACAAAGAGAGGCGGGCAAGAUUUCACAUUGUCGGGCAAGGUUAUACGUCUUGCGAUCUCUUUUUUUUUUUGCAGUGACAAAGGGUUAGGUAAUAAAAGAGGGAUGAGUGGUAAAUGAGUUUACACAAGAGAAUCGAUACUAGAGAAGGUAGCAGAGCUUUUACAUAGACUAAGAGAGAAUGGAUGAAUAAUAGUACGAGAAAAAAGUUCUUAAACGGUACAAAAAACCUUUUUGAAGUUCACUUAAAGUUGAGAUAAGUGACAAAUGGAUGAAUAAUAGUAUGAGAGAAAAUUCUUAAAUUGUAGAAAAUUGAGCAUGUCUUUCUGAAAACUGGAAGUUGAGAGAAAACAUAAACAGUACAGAAAACUGACUGAGCAUAUGUAUGAAUAACAGUAGGAGGAAGAUUCUUAAACUGUACAAAAAACAUAUUGUCUUUAUGAGUUAUAAGUGAGAAAUGGAUGAAUAACAGUAUGAGAGAAAAUUCUUAAACUGUACAUAAAACUGACUGAAAGUUGAGAUAAGUGAGAAACUUGUUGGCAGUUAAAACAAAUUUUUGUUUAUAAUUAAUUUUGCACCUUUUAUUUGAAUAACAAGAUAAACAUGUUCAUUUUAUUUUUAUUUUUUCAAAAUAUUCGGAAAAUAAAGUGUUUGGGAUUUAUGAAGGUAUUUUUUUUUUCUUUCUCUAUGGAGGUAUUCGGAUGAUGGUAUCCGUUUUUAAGGGUUAAAUUUAUAUUAACAUUAUAAUGAAAUCAACGUCGGAUAUUAAGUUAUAAAAUUAUUUCGAAUAUUAAUUAAAGUUAUAAAACUUUAACCUAAGAUUAAUAGAAAGGAACAAAUGGUGUAGACACAACAAGAUAGAUUAAUACGUUUUAGUACUUCAAAACCAUUUGUUGUGAUAGUAGGGACUCACAAUAUAUAUCUUAGAAAUAUUUGAGAAAUUUGCUGAAACAUGUAUUAGAUUUUCAAUUUUCAUGUUAAUAACUAUAUUAGUGCCGCAAAACCAUUUGUAUUGUUGUUUGACUCAUAUUGAGUCUCCUAGAGAUACUUGAAGAAGUUAUUGACACCCCAAGUACGGACUUUCAUUUUUAUUUUCUCUUUUUCUUUAUUUAUAAACAGAUAAGAAAUCUAUUCUUUCAUAUCUCUCUUUU
rnacentral:lncRNA from 1 species